rnacentral:rRNA from 1 species
GACGAACGCUGGCGGCGUGCUUAACACAUGCAAGUCGAACGGAAAGGCCCUGCUUUUGUGGGGUGCUCGAGUGGCGAACGGGUGAGUAACACGUGAGUAACCUGCCCUUGACUUUGGGAUAACUUCAGGAAACUGGGGCUAAUACCGGAUAGGAGCUCCUGCUGCAUGGUGGGGGUUGGAAGUUUCGGCGGUUGGGGAUGGACUCGCGGCUUAUCAGCUUGUUGGUGGGGUAGUGGCUUACCAAGGCUUUGACGGGUAGCCGGCCUGAGAGGGUGACCGGCCACAUUGGGACUGAGAUACGGCCCAGACUCCUACGGGAGGCAGCAGUGGGGAAUAUUGCACAAUGGGCGGAAGCUUGAUGCAGCAACGCCGCGUGCGGGAUGACGGCCUUCGGGUUGUAAACCGCUUUCGCCUGUGACGAAGCGUGAGUGACGGUAAUGGGUAAAGAAGCACCGGCUAACUACGUG